GCAACUUCUAUCUCUUAUCAUGUAUCUCUGUAAAUCAGCUACUAUAAGCCACACUAACCGUAAAUCGCCUCUAGGCUGCCAGCUUCAGCACAUAAAGCAUGACAAAUUUCUUGGACAUAGAAUCUGAAUUAAUUGCGCCUAGAAUCAUUGUUUUCCUUUGUUCUAGAAGGACAA